GGAGGAUGCAAGCGUUAUCCGGAAUUAUUGGGCGUAAAGCGUCCGCAGGUGGUGUUUCAAGUCUGCUGUCAAAGACCGAAGCUUAACUUCGGGCAGGCGGUGGAAACUGAAACACUAGAGUACGGUAGGGGUAGAGGGAAUUUCCAGUGUAGCGGUGAAAUGCGUAGAGAUUGGAAAGAACACCAGUGGCGAAGGCGCUCUACUGGACCGUAACUGACACUCAGGGACGAAAGCUAGGGUAGCGAAAGGGAUUAGAUACCCCUGUAGUCCUAGCCGUAAACGAUGGAUACUAGGCGUUGCUUGUAUCGACCCGAGCAGUGCCGUAGCCAACGCGUUAAGUAUCCCGCCUGGGGAGUACGCACGCAAGUGUG
rnacentral:rRNA from 1 species